rnacentral:rRNA from 1 species
AUUGAACGCUGGCGGCAGGCCUAACACAUGCAAGUCGAACGGUAGCACAGAGAGCUUGCUCUCGGGUGACGAGUGGCGGACGGGUGAGUAACGUCUGGGAAACUGCCCGAUGGAGGGGGAUAACUACUGGAAACGGUAGCUAAUACCGCAUAACGUCGCAAGACCAAAGUGGGGGACCUUCGGGCCUCACACCAUCGGAUGGGCCCAGAUGGGAUUAGCUAGUAGGUGGGGUAAUGGCUCGCCUAGGCGACGAUCCCUCGCUGGUCUGAGAGGAUGACCAGCCACACUGGAACUGAGACACGGUCCAGACUCCUACGGGAGGCAGCAGUGGGGAAUAUUGCACAAUGGGCGCAAGCCUGAUGCAGCCAUGCCGCGUGUAUGAAGAAGGCCUUCGGGUUGUAAAGUACUUUCAGCGGGGAGGAAGGCGGUGAAGUUAAUAGCUUCACCGAUUGACGUUACCCGCAGAAGAAGCACCGGCUAACUCCGUGCCAGCCGCCACCGUAA